AAAGCUGUCGCGGGAGAGAUCGGCCCAUGGCCGACGCCGAAGGCGCAACUCCGCCCGGAAUCGCUCAGGCACCAAGGACCGCGAAAUACAG
rnacentral:ncRNA from 2 species